UCGAUGCUACCUCUCUCGCGAAGAACAGUGACAACAACACCUUCUCAGGGUGCUUUCGGUUCUCUCAUGUUCAAGUGAACAAAAACAAGAACUUCCGGCCUCUUUUGAUUGAAGACAAACUCAAGACAAUUCAACAAUUAACAGCAAUAUUGAGCGUGAGGUAUGAAGAUAACUUACCUGCGGCUAGAAGAUUUUAGCCGGAUUAGUGUUGCAGGUAUAACACUGAUUAAUGGAAAUAUUGAGAGUAAGAGUGAAAUUAGCUUACCUACGGCGAGGAGGUUUUCGCCGGAUUAUUGUUGAGGAUCCUUUGAUGAAGAUGACACCACCUCUUUGGAUAUUAGGGAGACUUGAAGAUGGACUUCAAGUUGGAACUCUCCACCAAGGUAUGAAGAAUUUCUUCUUCACUCCCCUUCAA